UACGUAGGGUGCGAGCGUUGUCCGGAUUUAUUGGGCGUAAAGAGCUCGUAGGCGGUUUGUCGCGUCGGCCGUGAAAUCUCCACGCUUAACAUGGAGCGUGCGGUCGAUACGGGCAGACUUGAGUUCGGUAGGGGAGACUGGAAUUCCUGGUGUAGCGGUGAAAUGCGCAGAUAUCAGGAGGAACACCGGUGGCGAAGGCGGGUCUCUGGGCCGAUACUGACGCUGAGGAGCGAAAGCGUGGGGAGCGAACAGG
rnacentral:rRNA from 1 species